rnacentral:rRNA from 1 species
UACGUAGGGCGCAAGCGUUGUCCGGAAUUAUUGGGCGUAAAGAGCUCGUAGGCGGUUUGUCGCGUCUGCUGUGAAACCCGAGGCUCAACCUCGGGCCUGCAGUGGGUACGGGCAAACUAGAGUGCGGUAGGGGAGAAUGGAAUUCCUGGUGUAGCGGUGGAAUGCGCAGAUAUCAGGAGGAACACCGAUGGCGAAGGCAGUUCUCUGGGCCGUAACUGACGCUGAGGAGCGAAAGCGUGGGGAGCGAACAGG